rnacentral:lncRNA from 1 species
AUGAAAUGCUUUGAGAGACUGGUUCUUCAUCACAUCAAAGGUUGUCUCCCCUCCACCCUCGACACCCACCAAUUUGCAUAUCGGACUAAUAGAUCCACAGAGGAUGCCAUCGCCAUAGCCUUCCAUUCUGCACUCAGCCACCUGGAACACCAGCAGAGCUAUGUGAGGAUGCUCUUUGUGGACUAUAGCUCAGCAUUUAACACAAUCAUCCCAGACAUUUUGAUCACCAAGCUGAACACCCUGGGCCUCCCCCCUCUCACAUGUGCCUGGAUAAGAGACUUUCUGACCAACCGGCCCCAGACUGUGAGACUUGGACCCCACCUCUCCUCCACCCGCACACUGAGUACUGGCUCUCCACAGGGCUGCGUGCUGAGUCCCCUCCUGUACUGUCUCUACACCUACGGCUGCGGGCCAACCCAUGAGAGCAACAUCACUGUGAAAUUUGCUGAUGACACCACAGUGGUUGGUCUGAUCUCAAGGGGGGACGAGUCAGCCUACAGAGAGGAGGUCCUGAAGCUGACAGCGUGGUGCUCUGCUAACAACCUGCAGCUUAACAUCACAAAGACCAAGGAGAUUGUCGUGGACUUCCGGAGGCACAGAGCAGACCCUGCCCCCUUAUACAUCAACGGUGAGUGUGUGGAAAGGGUCCACACCUUCAGGUUCCUCGGUGUCCUCAUCUCUGCGGACCUCUCCUGGUCAAACAACAUCUCUGCGGUUACCAAGAAGACCCAACAGAGACUACAUUUCCUGAGAGUCCUCAGGAAGCACAACCUGGACUCAAAACUGCUGCUGACCUUUUACCGCUCGACCAUCGAGAGCCUGCUCACGUACUGUAUAACUGUAUGGUACGGGAGCUGCACUGAGGCAGAUAGGAGGAGGCUUCAGAGGGUAAUAAAAACGGCUCAAAGGAUUGUUGGCUGCCCUCUCCCCUCCCUGACGGACAUUUACACCUCACGCUGCCUCAACAGAGCACAUAGCAUCAUCAAGGACAGUUCACACCCUGGCUUCCACAUGUUCAACCUGCACUGA